rfam:Capsicum annuum cultivar Zunla-1 chromosome 1, whole genome shotgun sequence
UAAUAGUGGUGAGGAUAGUUUCAGAGCAUACCAUUAAAUCUCUCCCAAGCUUGGUAAUGAUUUUCUCCUUCUUUCUGCCUGAAACUCAGAAUCUUAUCUCUCAAACA